rnacentral:rRNA from 1 species
UACGGGGGGGGCAAGCGUUGUUCGGAAUUACUGGGCGUAAAGGGCCAGUAGGCGGCCAACUAAGUCCGACGUGAAAUCCCAAGGCUUAACCUUGGAACUGCGUCGGAUACUGGAUGGCUUGAAUCCGGGAGAGGGAUGCAGAAUUCCAGGUGUAGCGGUGAAAUGCGUAGAUAUCUGGAGGAAUACCGGUGGCGAAGGCGGCAUCCUGGACCGGCAUUGACGCUGAGGAGCGAAAGCCAGGGGAGCGAACAGG